UUUAAGUGCAACUAUAGGUUUCCGUGCCCAACUUUAAUCGUUCGUCUUAUUUGAAUUUUUUUAUACUUAGUAUUUUUAUUGUUAUGAGAUGAUAAAACAUAAAUAGUACUUUAUAUGUGACUUAUGUUUUUAUUUUUUUUAAAAAAAAGUCAAAUAAGACGAACGAUCAAAGUUGUGCACGGAAAAUCAUAGCUGCACUUAAA
rfam:Oryza glumipatula chromosome 2, whole genome shotgun sequence.